CCUACGGGAGGCAGCAGUGAGGAAUAUUGGUCAAUGGGCGGAAGCCUGAACCAGCCAAGUCGCGUGAGGGAAUAAUGCCCUACGGGUUGUAAACCUCUUUUGUCGGGGAGCAAGGGCGGGGACGUGUCCCUGCCUGGAGAGUAUCCGGAGAUAAAGCACUGGCUAACCCCGUGCCAGCAGCCGCGGUAAUACGGGGGAUGCGAUCGUUAUCCGAAUUUAUUGGGUUUAAGGGGUGCGUAGGCGGGCUUUUAAGUCAGCGGUAAAAAUUCGGGGCUCAACCCCGUCCGGCCGUUGAUACUGGGGGCCUUGAGUGGGCGAGAAGAAGGCGGAAUGCGUGGUGUAGCGGUGAAAUGCAUAGAUAUCACGCAGAACCCCGAUUGCGAAGGCAGCCUUCCGGCGCCCUACUGACGCUGAGGCACGAAAGUGCGGGGAUCGAACAGGAUUAGAUACCCGUGUAGUC
rnacentral:rRNA from 1 species